rnacentral:lncRNA from 1 species
AAUAUUCUGAACAGUCAGGUAGAAAUGCAAAUAACUAUGUCAACAUUCCAUUAAAUAAUUAUGAAAAAUAUUCUGAACAUUCAGGUAAAAAUGCAAAUAACUAUGCUAGCAGUCAUAAUAAAUCAGAUGAAUACGAAAAAUAUAGUAAAGAGAAAGAACAAUGUAAAACGCCUUUAAAUGAACAAAUUGCUAUAAAUGAUAAAAAUAGUAAGAUAAAUAAAGAUACAUCGUUAAAUAUAAAAAAAGAAAUAAAUCAUAGUAACAAGGACAACAGCAACGGCAGCAGUAACAUGUACAAUUUGCAUAAUGUCGAAAAGAGGAAUCCCAAUAAUUACAAACGAGAUCAUACGCACGAAUAUAAUAAUUAUUACUAUGACACGGAGCAAGAUAAUAAAUUGGGAACUGAUAUGGAUGAACAAAUAAAUAUGCACAAUACUAGUAUGAGUAUAUAUAAAAGUAACAACUAUUACAAUUAUAAAAAUAAAAACAUAUUAGACCAAAGCGAUAAUAGUAAUUAUAAUAUGAGUAAAAAUGAAAUUCAUAAUUUAGAUACACAAAAGUAUGAACAUGAUCAUAAUUAUAUCGAUACAAAUGACAACUUUAUUUCUGCAAAUCAUGAUAAAAAAGUGCGACAAAAUUAUAGAGAUUCUUCUAGGUUUAAUAAUAUGGACGUAUAUGAUAAUGCAUACGAAUUAAGGGAGACAGGUAUGUUAGAUACAAUUAACGAUAAUAUGUUUCAUAAUAACCUAAAUGAUUCUAGUUUUAGUCAUAAAAGUUAUGAACCCAUAAUAUGUUCAGGUGAUUUUAAUAAUUUUAGCAAAAGUGACUCAAAACAAGUAGAUUCAAAUGCAAAACAAAAAACGAGAAAAACAUAUAUAAAUAAAGAAUCAAGCAUAAUAAAAUCUGAUUUGUAUAUAGAUAAAGAGAAGUACUACACUUCUUUUAAUCAAAUCGAAGAAAAUAAAAAGUUGAAUAAUAAGAAAAAAUAUAUCAACGCAAAUAAUACGACUAGAACACAAUUGGAAAGAAAUAAUAACAAUAAUCACAUUUUUAGUUUGAAUAAACAAACGACAGAAAAUGUUAACCCAUUUAAUAAUGGUGAUAUUGAUAGUGAUAAUGAUUAUGGUUAUGAUCUUGGUUAUGAUCGUGGUAGUGAUAACAAUAUUAACGAGUAUGGUGAAGAAAAUACUAAAAGUAGUAACAUACAAAAGAGAAAUACCGAAGAUACGAUUAUAAAACAUAUAAAGGAAGAUGUUACAUACUACGAAAAUGUAGUUAAUACUAUUAACGACAAUAAAAAUAACAAAUCGGAUAAUCCUAUGAAUAACAAUUUUUUG